rnacentral:rRNA from 1 species
UCCAGAGGGUGCGAUCGUUAAUCGGAAUUACUGGGCGUAAAGCGCACGUAGGCGGCUUGGCAUGUCGGGUGUGAAAUCCCCGGGCUCAACCUGGGAACUGCAUCCGAAACUGCCUUGCUAGAGUAUGGGAGAGGGAAGUGGAAUUUCCGGUGUAGCGGUGAAAUGCGUAGAUAUCGGAAGGAACAUCAGUGGCGAAGGCGACUUCCUGGACCAAUACUGACGCUCAGGUGCGAAAGCGUGGGGAGAAAACAGG